rnacentral:rRNA from 1 species
UACGUAGGGGGCAAGCGUUGUCCGGAAUCAUUGGGCGUAAAGCGCGUGUAGGCGGCCCGAUUAGUCCGCUGUGAAAGUCCAGGGCUCAACCCUGGGAUGCCGGUGGAUACUGUCGGGCUCGAGUCCGGAAGAGGCGAGUGGAAUUCCUGGUGUAGCGGUGAAAUGCGCAGAUAUCAGGAGGAACACCAAUGGCGAAGGCAGCUCGCUGGGACGUGACUGACGCUGAGACGCGAAAGCGUGGGGAGCAAACA